CGCACAGUAAACGAUGAAUACUAGCUGUUUGCGAUAUACAGUAAGUGGCACAGCGAAAGCGUUAAGUAUUCCACCUGGGGAGUACGCCGGCAACGGUGAAACUCAAAGGAAUUGACGGGGGCCCGCACAAGCGGAGGAACAUGUGGUUUAAUUCGAUGAUACGCGAGGAACCUUACCCGGGCUUGAAUUGCAGACGAAUGAGCGUGAAAGCGUUCAGCCAGCAAUGGCGUCUGUGAAGGUGC
rnacentral:rRNA from 1 species